rnacentral:misc_RNA from 1 species
GAUGAAGAACGUAGCGAAAUGCGAUUAGUAAUGUGAAUUGCAGAAUUCCGUGAAUCAUCGAAUCUUUGAACGCACAUUGCGCCCCCUGGUAUUCCGGGGGGCAUGCCUGUCCGAGCGUCAUUGCAACCUUCAAGCGCGGCUUGUGUGUUGGGUCUCGUCCCCCGUGGACGGGCCCGAAAGGCAGUGGCGGCGUCCCGACAUGGUGCCCGAGCGUAUGGGAAUCCUCUUCCGCUCGAAUCGGCCCAUGCGGCGCUGGUCGUAACCAAAUUUUUUACCGGUUGACCUCGGAUCAGGUAGGGAUACCCGCUGAACUUAAGCAUAUCAAUAAGCGGAGGA